CCCUAACAGUAUAACUUUGCAACGAGGUCUUUUUUCAUUCAAUCGAACCAAAGGAGUAAACGUAAUUAUAUUGGGUCUAUAUAUUCCGCCAGAGAGUGUUAAUUUAGAACGGAAUCGACUGUCGAAUGGUUGACAAGAACCAAAACGGAAACAACAUUAGACUACUCUGUUGCGCGCUAACAGUAUAACUUUGCAACGAUAUACUUUUCUCAUCAAUCGAAAAAGAGUAAAAGCUAAUUAUACUCGUUCGAUAUGCCUCUGGACUGUAAAUUUGGAACAAAUCGUUCUUCACCUUCAAAGAACCAAAAAUCGGAACAACAUUAGACUUCGAGUUGGCCGCCAAACGGGCAAAAUUUGCAACGAGUAACUUUUUCUCAUUCAAUCGAACAUAAGAGUAAAAGCUUACAUUAAAUUGGUUCUAUUAAUGCCUCGAGAGUGUAAACUUUGGAAAGAUAUGGAUGUCAACGUUGAACAAGAACAAAAAGCCGGAACAACUUAGAUUACUCAGUUGCGCCCUUAACAGUAUAACUUUGCAACGGAGUAGACUUUUUGUCUCAUUUCAAUCGAACAAGUGUAAAAGCUACAAUUAUAUUGUUCUAUUAUUCCUCCGAGAUUGUUACUUAAACGAUCGUUUUCAACCUUCACAAGAAUCAAACACACGGAAACAUCUAUGACUGCUUAGUUGCGCACCUAACGUAAUUAAAUUUGCAACGAGUACUUUUUCUCAUUCAAUCGAAUUAGAGAGCAAAAGUUUAAUCUAUAUUGUUCCUUUAAUGGGCCAGUCCGGGAGGGUAAAUUGGAACGAAUCGUUGUCAACCCUUCACAAGAAACCAAAACCGGAACCAAUAUUAGACUACUCAGUUGCGCUCCUAACAGUAUAACUUCGCAACGAGUACUUUUUCUCAUUAAUCGAACAAAGAGUAAAAGCUAAUUAUCUUAAUCUUUAUGCCAGGAUUGUUAACUUUAGACGAAUCGCCUGUUCCAAUGUUCACACGAACAACAAGGCCGGAACAACAUUAGACUUACUCAGUUGCGCACCCUAACAUAUAACCUUUGCAACCAUACUUACAUCUCUCCCUCAUUCUAUCGAACAUAAGAGUAAAAGCUGAACUGAAUAUAUUGUUCUACUACUGCCUCAGGAGAGUGUAAAUUUGGAACGGGAUCGAAUGCACCUUCACAAGAAUCAAAACCGGGACAACAUUAGACAAGUCAGUUGUGCCUAAUUAGUAUAAAUGUUUGUACGAGUACUUUUUCUCAUUACAAAUCUAAAAAAGAGUAAAAUCUUAAUUAAUAUAUUCUUAUUAUGCCAGCGAGAGUGCUAAAUUUGGAACAAAAAUUAUGGUCCAACCUUCACAAGAACCAAAAAACCGGAACAACAUUUAGACACUCAGUUGCGCCCGUAACCGGAUAUACUUUGAACGAGUACUUUUUCUCAAUCAAUCGACAAAAGAGUAAAACCUAUAAUUAUAAUAUGAUUCUAUAUGGCCGCCGGAGAGUGUAAAUUUGGAACAAAUUUGAUGUCAAACCUGUUCACAAGAACAAAAACCGGAACAAAUUAGAAAACUCAGUUGCGCCAUAACAGUAUAAGCUUUGCAACGAAGUACUUUUUUCAAAAUCAAUCGAACAAAGAGUAAAAAGCUAAUUCUAUUGUUCUAUGUUAUGCACUUGAGAAUGUAAAUUCGGAACAAGCGAGUGUCGUAUUUUCAGAAGAUAGACAAACUGGAACCAACAGUAGUUGUCACUGCCCGAGACCGCUCCCGAAAUUUUUGGUCCGGUUCGCGGGGCACCGCGACAGCCGCCGAACGGACGCGUUUCCCCUGUCGCGGAACAGGAGAGCUCCCCUGGUACGUUCCUAGGGCGUCGCCAAUCCAAAACAAGUGUCACAUUACAAAAGAUUCCAGACCAGGGAACAGUACUCAGCAAACAGAAUUGCAAUCAGGAACGGUAUCAGAUCCAACAGUUAAAAACACAAUACCUAAUGAUAUUUACGACAGCAUUCACAUUACGAUGCACAUUCAUUACAUUCAACUUCCUGAAUACCAAUUAAGUUAUUAAACAUUUAUUUUUUACAGACAUUGAUAAUUUUGCUGUGCUUUUUUUCUAUACCUAAGCUAGUCGACGCCGGGGUGCUGGCGAGCUCUGGCCUCUGGGGUAGGGCGCCUAUCUAAUGGGAGUACGCCCUUGCCAUCGGCGCCGCCGCGCCGCUCACGUCGCGAACCUUUAAACCCCAAAGAACAGGCGUGGGGGUGGAACCAACUCCAUGGGGUUUCCCAGUGCGGUUAAGCCACCCGAAGGGAGGAGCGUCGAACAACAGGUCCAAGGGAAGGCAAAUACAAGUUAGGUCCAAUAAGACAGAUAGAUAAAUGUAUACUCAUAAUAUUCAUGCAACUAACUAUUACACUUGGCGUUGUUGCCUCACAACUGCAAUGAUGCAUGCUAUUACCUGGCAACCAGGAACGGUUGGAACGCUGCGCCUAGUGAGAUGAUUAUGUUGAUUCUGACGAUUCAAUCUCGCUAAUCUUAAGCUCAUGUCAUCCAACUCUAAGGUGUUCCCGCUAACUGCUAGGUUAACAAUCUACCACUAGCCUCAAGGUUCUAUUCUACCUUAUUCCGUCAAGCCACCCGACUCGCCUCGAGUCCAAUCAACAGGGAUAAAUCCGCGCUCUGGCCCGGGCUCGAGGUGAGCAGGAAUCCUGUCGCAUUGCACCUCAGCCUGCAAGCCAAAGAAAGCCACCAUCGGCCAACGGUCCGCUGCCGAAGGGUCCGUGCACCGUGGUCAGGGAUUCGCGCCAGUGGGAGAAGGAAACAUAGCCACGUACACCCAUAGCUCUGAGAUCCCCGACUAACGGGAGAGGAGGAAUAUGCCACGUUCCACCCUAGGCGCAUCUCCCUAUUCAUUGCUUAGUCUAUAUUCCUCAAGUAGUUCUUUCCGGUGGGAAAGAGGAACAUCGCGGCAUUACACCGCCGGUCCAGAACUAUAUGAGUUCACUCCGAGUACUGAGAUUCCGGAUAUCGACUCCACAAGUCCGCAAGGGUCCAUAUCCACGCCUAAUACUCAUUGAACCCUAUCUUCGGGUCCAAUGCACUUUCCACCUAGUUCCAACUGCACUCUAGGAUCUUAAUUGCCUCCAUUUCACAACUAGUUUACUUUAACUCUAGGUUCCAUUCGUCGACCUAAUGUCUCUUUAACCACUAGGUAGACUGCCUGAAGCACUGAGAAUCGCCGACUCUUAGGAUUCAUACUCAACCUAUGUUCUUUAACACUAGGUUAGGUGACCCACUCGUUAUUUUAUCCUAGUUUAAAUACUCUAGAUGUCGAUGUAUCUAUGCCGACCUUGAUGUUAUGUAACCACUAGGGUUAAUGCCAACUCGAUCUACUUGAUGUCCUUACUUGUACUUAUCAAGGUAUUCUACAGUUCAUCACUAAUUAAUAUUUAGUAUCAACUACCAUGCAUCAUCUUGCAGUUUUAUCACAUGGACAAUGCACUUCUUAACAUUAUGUAUUAUGUCUAUCAUGGCCUCUCCUAGCAUCAUGUACCAUGCAAUUCAGCUAGACAAUGAGUAUUCUACAGCAUACUUAAUAUUCCAUGUAUUAUGGCACUAUAUUUCUCAUUACGUCACUAUGCAUUAAUCUAUUAUUGGCCUCAUUUACAUUCAUUAUGCACUCAACGGCUGGAUUCUUAAUCAUCUUAGACAUAAAGGGCGACCUAGCGCAUCAUCGGUAAACACAACCCCACCUUAAACUUCGCCGUUCCGGAGCUUGCUCGUCGACCCACUUGCAAUCGGUCCCUCCGCGGCACUCGGCACCCGUUUGGGCCCGAGUCUCACAGAUUGCUUUCAAGAGCGGUCGCUUCGCCCGUUUCAAGUCGCUAACGAUCUUGGCCGUAGUAUGAUGCUCGGGACCCAAUUUCACAAAUUCAUGGAACGUCGCCUCGGAACCAUUCCAGGCGGGGGACAACCGAAGCUAGCCAAGCGUCCGUUCUUCAAUAUGCUUUGCAAGCAGGCUCGUUCGGCAUUGCCGAAUCGUCUGUUCGCCAACGUGUCUUGUUACGUAAUCAAUUAGGUUUACGAAGGGGUCAAUCUGAGAUCAAACCCCACCUAUUUCUUAAAACCCCUUUGGCCCUAGUUCGCGGACUACGGCAACAAUACCUCCACAAUAAAUCCGUAGAUUCAUGCAUGUAACUCUACUCAUAAGCCAUGCUAGGCAUCGCAUCUAAAACCAAUUUCUUAGAGCGUUUAACCGAAACACCUAAGAAAUCACAUUAAAAGCUUGCAGAAGCUUACUCGCUAACGCCUCCUCGCGAAGCACAAGGAAGGAAUGAAGAAGAUGGAAGCUCUUCCUCUUCUUUCUUCUUCUCUUCCUCCUCUCGUUCUUCUUCUUCUUCUUUUCUUCUAUUGUUAUGGAGGGAGAUAGGAGGUGGGCGGUUGGGGUUGAAAGGUGAGGCGACAAGACGAGGAGGCGAGAGAGGCUUCUUACUCCUCAUCUAUACAACUGUAACCCAUGCAACCGGGAUUGGCAGGAAAACCUCAACAGACAAGCCACUCUGCUGCAAACACGCGGAACUGGGCAGUUUCGGGGUUCGGAACGGUGUGCUACAUGAGGGCCGAGUCUCUGGUGAGAUCGGUCUCCCUACCUGGACCGCGGUCCCCAGAGAGACCUCCCAGCCGGAGGACUUGCCAGUUUGUAGCUUCGUCGGUUUUCGCUCCGUUCUGGCCCCGUUUUCGUUGGAUUGACCUCCGAUCUCGUCUUAAUCGAACCGAGACCUCUCCACACAAUGUUAUUCGCAAAGCAUGUUUUCCAUACUUAUCCAUCCUCGCUAAGCCGGAUGUUUGUAGCUCACAGGCCGAAUUUUAGCCCAUUAGUCGGGUUCCCGUUUCCGCGCCUACGCGCACCGAAACGCAUCGAUAGCUCACCGAACUUCCACCAACUUACACCGAAGCCAUUCAACAAUGGCUCUUACGAUCGAGAUGUACACCAUAAAGCUCAACUAGUUUUAGAAGUCGGUACUGUACAAGUAAGACAUUACACAGUUGCGCCCCUCUAAACAGUAUAAUUUGCAACGGAGUACUUUUCUCAUUCAAUCGAAUAAAAGAGUUAAACGCUAAUUCAUAUUGUUUCUAUUAUGACCCGAGAUUGCUAAUUUAGAGACGAGCCAUCGGAUGUCGAAGCGUUGUGAAGAAGAGCCAAAUCCGGAACAACAUUAACUCUCAGUUGCGACCUAACAGCGUAUAACUUCGGCAAAGAUACUUUUUCUCAUUCAAUCGAACAAGAAGAGUAAAGAAGCUACAUUAUAUUGGGUAUCUAGUUGUAUCCGGGGAGAGUGUUAAUUUUGAACGACGAUCGAUGUCAAUGUUGACGAAGAACAAAAUAGUAAACAUAUUAGACCUACUCAGUUCGCUCCUAACAGUUAUAACGUUGCAACGGGAGUAUACUUUUUCUCAUUCAAUCGAAAAAGGUAUAAAAGCUAUUAUAAUCGUUCUAUUAUGCCUCUGGAGUGUAAAUUUGGAACAAAUCGUUGUCAACCUUCACAAGACCCAAAACCGGAACAAACAUUAGACUUCUCAGUUGCGCCCUAACAGCAUAAAUUUGCAACGAAGUACUUUUUCUCAUUCAUCCGAACAAAGAGUUAAAAAGCUAUUAAAUUGUUCUAUUUGCCUCGAGAGUGUAAUUUGGAAAGAAUCCGAUGUCAACGUUGCAAGAACAAAAACCGGAACAACAUUGGGACUCACUCAGUUGGCCCUAACAGUAUAACUUUGCAACGAGUACUUUUCUUUCAUUCAAUCGAACAAAAGAGUAAAGCUAAUUAUUAUUUUUCCAUUAUGCUCGGAGAUUGUUAACUUAGAACCGAAUCGUUGUUCAACCUUCACAAGACAAGAACACGGAAAAAAUUAAGACUGCUUAGUUGGCCCUACAGUAUAACUUUCCAACCAGUACUUUUUCGACAUUCUAAUCGAACAAAGAGUAAAAAGCUAAUCGUAUAUAGUAUCUACUAAUUGCCAGAGGAGUGAUAAAUUUGGAACGCAAAUCGAUGUCACUAUUUACAAAAAUCAAACACCGCGGAACAACAUUAGACUACGUCAGUCUUGCCUUAAUCAAUAGUAUAGAAUUUGUUACGAGUAACUUUUUCUCAUUCAAGAUCGACAAAAAAAGAGUAAAACUAAUUAUAUUAUUCUAUUAUGCCACCGGGAGUGUUAAAUUUAGGAACAAAUCUGGGAUUGGACAGACCUCUCACAAGAACCAAAAACCCGGAACAACAGUUAGACACUUCAGUUGCCGCCUAAUAGCUAUAACUUUUGCAACGAUACUUUUUUCCUAACUCAGAAGAUCGAACAAAGAGUAAAACCUGAAUUAUAUGAUUCAUACUUAAUGCGCGAGAGUGUAAAUUGGAAACAAAUUGAUGUCAACCUUACACAAGGAACCAAAAUACGGACAACAUUUAGACCACUCAGUUAGCGCACCUAACAGAUAAUAACUUUGGCAACGAGUACUUUUUCUCAAUCAUGCGAACAAAGAAGUUAAAAGCUAAUUCUAUGUGUUCUACUUAUGCUCUGAGAAUGUAAAAUUAAGGAAGGAAGCGAUGUCUAUGUUCAGAAGAUAGAAAAACUGGAACCACCACACCAUUAAGUACCUCAGUUGCGCGCCUUACCGUAUAAAUUUGCAAAGCGAGUCGUUUUUCUGCUUCAAUCGAACAAAGAGUUAAACAUGUUCUAUUAUGCCCCUUGAGAGUGAUAAAUUUGGAACGAAUGAUGUCAACCUUUACAAAGACACCAAAACCCGUAACACAAUAGACUAUCAGUUGCGCCUAACAGUAUAACUUUGCAACGGUACCUUUUCUCAUAUCAACUGACAUAAAGAGUAAAGCUAUAAUAUUGUCUAUUCUGCCCCGAGAUUGCUAAUUAGAACGAAAUCGAUAGUCAACGUUGACAAGAACUCAAAAACAGGAACAACAUUGGAACUACUCAGUUGCGCCCUAACAGUAUAACUUUGCAACGAGUACCUUUUCUCGUUCAAUCGAACAAAGAGUAAAAGCUAAUUAUAUUGUUCUAUUAUGCCCCGAGAUUGUUAAUUUAGAACGAAUCGAUGUCAACGUUGAAAAGAACCAAAACCGGAACAACAUUAGACUACUCAGUUGCGCAUAAACAGUAUAACUUUACAACGAGUACUUUUUCUCAUUCAAUCGAACAAAGAGUAAAAGCUAAUUAUAUUG
rnacentral:lncRNA from 1 species